UACGGAGGGUGCGAGCGUUGUCCGGAAUCACUGGGCGUAAAGGGCGCGUAGGUGGCACGGGUAGUCGUCGGUGAAAGCUCAGGGCUCAACCCUGAGUCGGCCGGUGAUACUCCCGAGCUCGAGUGUGGUAGAGGCCAAUGGAAUUCCGGGUGUAGCGGUGGAAUGCGUAGAGAUCCGGAAGAACACCGGUGGCGAAGGCGGCCUGCUGGGCAGUAGCUGACGCUGAUGCGCGACAGCGAUGGGGAGCAAACAGG
rnacentral:rRNA from 1 species